GACGAACGCUGGCGGCGUGCCUAACACAUGCAAGUCGAACGGGAUCCGCAAGGAUUCAGUGGCGCACGGGUGCGUAACACGUGAGGAACAUAGCCAUCGGCGGGGGAUAGCCGGCCCAACGGCCGGGUAAUACCGCGUACGAUCGUUCGGGGGGCAUCCUCUGGAGAUGAAAGCAGCAAUGCACCGAUGGGGUNCCUCGCGGCCUAUCAGCUAGUUGGUGAGGUAAUGGCUCACCAAGGCUACGACGGGUAGCUGGUCCGAGAGGAUGACCAGCCACAUUGGGACUGAGACACGGCCCAGACUCCUACGGGAGGCAGCAGUGGGGAAUAUUGCG
rnacentral:rRNA from 1 species